rnacentral:rRNA from 1 species
UACGGGGGGAGCAAGCGUUGUUCGGAUUUACUGGGCGUAAAGGGCGCGUAGGCGGCCAGCGCAAGUCAGUUGUGAAAUCUCCGAGCUUAACUCGGAAAGGUCAACUGAUACUGCGCGGCUAGAGUGCAGAAGGGGCAACUGGAAUUCUCGGUGUAGCGGUGAAAUGCGUAGAUAUCGAGAGGAACACCUGCGGCGAAGGCGGGUUGCUGGGCUGACACUGACGCUGAGGCGCGAAAGCGUGGGGAUCAAACAGG